UACGUAGGGGGCAAGCGUUGUCCGGAAUUAUUGGGCGUAAAGAGCGUGUAGGCGGUCCGGUAAGUCGGCUGUGAAAGUCCAGGGCUCAACCCUGGGAUGCCGGUCGAUACUGCCGGACUAGAGUGCGGAAGGGGCAACUGGAAUUCCCAGUGUAGCGGUGAAAUGCGUAGAUAUUGGGAAGAACACCUGAGGCGAAGGCGGGUUGCUGGGCCGACACUGACGCUGAGGCGCGAAAGCUAGGGGAGCGAACGGG
rnacentral:rRNA from 1 species